UGUGUGUGCGUGUGUGUGUGAGUGUUUGCAGGUUGUGUGUGACCUUGUUGACCUUCAGUGGAUUCAGAGGCUCGUAUUUACAGUGUCUGUGGAGGGAUGCUGGAGGACCAAUCACAGCAGAGGCAGUAAACACAGUCUCCGUGGGACGGACUCGGGCUGUUUCUCUCUCCCUGUGGCGUCGCCGUCAAAAUGACAAUCUGUUAUUGGGAGCGACCCAGUGGCUCCUCCAUCACGAGCCAGCGCUGUAAAUACAAAAGCUCCCAGAGGCCAGAUCUGCAGUUUGUGGACAAGAACCAAAAUUAACACGGAUCACUUCCUGUCACAGAUCAGCCAGACUCAACACAGUCCAACAAGGCGGAGAGGGAGCACAGGUCUGCAGGAGAACUAUGAGGAGAAGAAAGAGGAUCUGAUGAACCAGAUCAGGGAGGCCGAGGAGAAGCUGUCUGCUGAGCAGGAGGACUCAGUGGAAGAAGAGAGGAAGACAGAUGAAGAGUUAAACCUCCUGAUUCUGCAGAACAUUGAGCUUCAGAGACUCGCUCUGAAGACCAAUGAGUACAGAGAGAAGGUCAAGAAGGAGAAGAAGGAGAAGAAAAGCAGGAAAAGAAAGAGCAACAAGAGAGAGAGAGAGAG